UAGAAUAUCGUUCACCCGCGCCAAUCGCGGCUGUUAUAGAGUUAUAGACUUAAUUUGUCAAACGCUCCUGAAGAACUCCUGUUAAUCUUAGGUCGUAGUGUUAUCAUGUCGAUAAGGUUGUGUCGAUUCAAUAGUCCUGAUACUUGUGCUUGCUUUGAUUCCCUCUUCCGAUUAUGUAAUCAUUUAUGUAAAUGGAGCAAGAAAUUAUUCGGAUCGCAGCUACAGAAAUCAGGUGCAUAGGCGUACAUUCAGUCUGAAACUAGAUAGUGUUAAAAUAAUUCAUUCCAAGGUAUAUUUAAACUGACACAGUUAACACGGAACACACGCACUUACCUAAGCACUAUAGUUGAACGCGAGAUUAGUUAAGUAUACGGUGUUAGUAUUUUUUCAUUCUUAUAAUUCGUUAAAUGGAUCAUCUAAGAGGAAAUGUUGCUGUGGUAACUGGAUCCAGUGCUGGUAUCGGAGAAGCAUUGGCGAUUAAGCUAGUCAAAGCUGGGCUCAUCGUUGUGGGGAUAGCUAGAAGGAUUCAUAGACUUCAGGUAUUGCAAAAAAAAAUGGAAGAUAAUAAUUUUUCUGGACAGUUUCAUCCAUUGGAAUGUGAUUUAACAAAUGAAAAUGACAUAUUUAAAGCUUUUAAAUGGAUUGAUGAAAACAUCGGUGGUAUACAUUUUCUUAUCAACAAUGCUGGAAUCGUAAGGUUUUCACCCAUUUUAAGUGGUUGUUCGAAUGAUUGGAAAGAAAUAAUUGACUGCAAUGUAUUGGCACCUACAAUCUGUUCAAGGGAAGCUUAUAGAUUGAUGAAAAAGUACAAAAUCACUCGAGGUCAUAUUAUUCAAAUCAACAGCUUAACGGGCCAUUCGUAUUCGGUGAACCCUGGAAACAAGAUGUACAACGCGUCCAAACAAGCUCUUAGAGUGUUGACCGAAGGGCUUCGCCACGAAUUAGCCGCAGCCGGAGAUGACCACAUCAAAGCUUCUAGCAUCAGUCCCGGUUUUGUGGACACGGAAAUAUUCGAAGCGGCCAAAAUACCACACGUCAAAUUGAACUCUUCUGUGACGCUGAGCUCAGAGGAAAUGGCCGAUAUGAUUGUUUUCGUUAUGUCAACUGGAUCCAAUAUAUUGUAUCUACAAAUUAAUCAAGACCCCAUUGUCCCAGCUGGCAUGGUUAUGUCACUAAUCAGUGCCGCACUCCUCUCCAUGGCGUCCUUGGCGAAUUUUAUUUUGGUGCUUAUUUUAUACAAAAAAAAAAAAUAAAUAAUUUAAAUGAAACUCCCAUUACAUUGCUGCAUUCUUGGCCAACCCUACAUUUCGCCAAACUUAAGUUAAGAUUGCUGAAAUGAUUGUUCUCAGUCAAGGGCGUACUAUCCAAACGUACAAAACUUCAUAAUAAUAUGGAUUAAACAUUGU